rnacentral:lncRNA from 1 species
AUCUACUUAGGGGAAUUAGGAAUACAAGGUUAGGACCAGAUACCAUGGUUAAAUCAUACUUUAGCUAGAAUCAAUUUGAAAAUCUGAAUUAAACUUGGUAACUUAUUUGCUUGCGUUAGUUAUUUUCUUUCUUUCUUUAUUUCAAUCCUUGUACUUUUCACAAUCAUCAUUAAUCUAAUUGAAUCAAUCUAUCAUCAAUCCUCGUGGGAUCGACCUCGCACUUACAUAUGCUAUACUACCGAACGACUCGUGCACUUGUGAGUAUCACAAGUUAAGGAGGCAGCUUAAUCUAUUUUUGUGCAGCUGAUUCGACAACAACAAAACCGCCAAAGCUUAAAGAGCUCACUACGGCUGCAGAAAGGCUGGGCUCUUCGGGACUAGGCUCAUGAAUGGUUCCCCGGUCCUAUCCGAACAUUUCCUGACUAGUCUUGUGGUUGGUCGUUGCCGGAGCACCGAGAUCACCAACCAAGACUAGCUGGCCUAAUUUUCCGAAGGGAGAGAGAUGCGAGGAAGAUAGAACCACGAGGGGAGAGAGAGGGUGUGCAAAUGGAAGAAGAGAAGGAGUUGGGGUAUUUCAGGCUUUUUCGAACAAUUCCAGUCUUUCCCGAUACGUCCUUUUCGUUUUCAUACCCUUUCUCUUUCGUUAAGACCCGAAAUUGAGUGUGCCUACUGUCUACAGACUCAUAUCGACGAACUCUAAGUAACGGU